GUGCCAGCCGCCGCGGUAAAACGUAGGACGCGAGCGUUAUCCGGAGUUACUGGGCGUAAAGGGCGGGUAGGCGGUCAGUCAAGUUGGAUGUGAAAUCUCCCGGCUAAACUGGGAGGGGGCAUUCGAAACUGAUUGGCUAGAGGACAGCAGAGGGUCGCGGAAUUCCGGGUGGAGUGGUGAAAUGCGUAGAGAUCCGGAGGAACACCAGAGGCGAAAGCGGCGACCUGGGCUGUAACUGACGCUGAACCGCGAAAGCCAGGGGAGCGAACGGGAUUAGAUACCCUUGUAGUCC
rnacentral:rRNA from 1 species